UGGGGAAUAUUGGACAAUGGGCGAAAGCCCUGAUCCCAGCCAUGCCGCGUGUGUGAAGAAGGUCUUCGGAUUGUAAAAGCACUUUAAAGUUGGGAGGAAGGNCCAGUAAGUUUAAUACCUUGCUGUUUUGACGUUUCCAACCAGAAUAAAGCCCCCGGCCUAACUUUCGUGNCAGCAGCCGCGGUAAUUCGAAGGGGGCAAGCGUUAAUCGGAAUUACUGGGCGUAAAGCGCGCGUAGGUGGUUCAGCAAGUUGGAUGUGGAAUCCCCGGGCUCAACCUUGGAACCUCAUCCAAAACUACUGAACUAGAGUACGGUAGAGGGUGGUGGAAUUUCCUGUGUAGCGGUGAAAUGCGUAGAUAUAGGAAGGAACACCAGUGGCGAAGGCGACCACCUGGACUGAUNCUGACACUGAGGUNCGAAAGCGUGGGGAGCAAACAGGAUUAGAUACCCUGGUAGUCCCCGCGUAAACGAUGUCGACUAGNCGUUGGGAUCCNUGAGAUCUUAGUGCGCAGCUAACGCGAUAAGUCGACCGCCUGGGGAGUACGGCCGCAAGGUUA
rnacentral:rRNA from 1 species